GAUGAACGCUAGCUACAGGCUUAACACAUGCAAGUCGAGGGGAAACGACAUCGAAAGCUUGCUUUUGAUGGGCGUCGACCGGCGCACGGGUGAGUAACGCGUAUCCAACCUGCCCACCACUUGGGGAUAACCUUGCGAAAGUAAGACUAAUACCCAAUGAUAUCUCUAGAAGACAUCUGAAAGGGAUUAAAGAUUUAUCGGUGAUGGAGGGGAUGCGUCUGAUUAGCUUGGUGGCGGGGUAACGGCCAACCAAGGCGACGAUCAGUAGGGGUUCUGGAAGGAAGGGCCCCCAAGUGGGAACUGAGACACGGUCCAAAAUCCUAGGGGAGGCAGCAGUGAGCAAUAUUGGUCAAUGGGCGAGAGCCUGAACCAGCCAAGUGGCGGACAGGAAGACGGCCCUAUGGGUUGUAAACUGCUUUUAUAAGGGAAUAAAGUUGGAGUCGUGACUCCUUUUGCAUGUACCUUAUGAAUAAGGACCGGCUAAUUCCGUGCCAGCCGCCGCCGUAA
rnacentral:rRNA from 1 species